rnacentral:rRNA from 1 species
GAGUUUGAUCCUGGCUCAGGACGAACGCUGGCGGCGCGCCUAACACAUGCAAGUCGAACGAGCGAGAGAGAGCUUGCUUUCUCGAGCGAGUGGCGAACGGGUGAGUAACGCGUGAGGAACCUGCCUCAAAGAGGGGGACAACAGUUGGAAACGACUGCUAAUACCGCAUAAGCCCACGGCUCGGCAUCGAGCAGGGGGAAAAGGAGCAAUCCGCUUUGAGAUGGCCUCGCGUCCGAUUAGCUAGUUGGUGAGGUAACGGCCCACCAAGGCGACGAUCAGUAGCCGGCUUGAGAGAGUGAACGGCCACAUUGGGACUGAGACACGGCCCAAACUCCUACGGGAGGCAGCAGUGGGGAAUAUUGCACAAUGGGGGAAACCCUGAUGCAGCGACGCCGCGUGAGUGAAGAAGUAUCUCGGUAUGUAAAGCUCUAUCAGCAGGGAAGAAAAUGACGGUACCUGACUAAGAAGCCCCGGCUAACUACGUGCCAGCCGCCGCGGUAAUUC